rnacentral:rRNA from 1 species
CCUGGAAACAGAUGCUAAUACCGGAUAACAACAGAUGAUGCCUAUCAACUGUUUAAAAGAUGGUUCUGUUAUCACUCUUGGAUGGACCUGCGGUGCAUUAGCUAGUUGGUAGGGUAACGGCCUACCAAGGCGAUGAUGCAUAGCCGAGUUGAGAGACUGAUCGGCCACAUUGGGACUGAGACACGGCCCAAACUCCUACGGGAGGCAGCAGGG